AAAUUGAAGAGUUUGAUCAUGGCUCAGAUUGAACGCUGGCGGCAGGCCUAACACAUGCAAGUCGAACGGUAACAGGAAACAGCUUGCUGUUUCGCUGACGAGUGGCGGACGGGUGAGUAAUGUCUGGGAAACUGCCUGAUGGAGGGGGAUAACUACUGGAAACGGUAGCUAAUACCGCAUAACGUCGCAAGACCAAAGAGGGGGACCUUCGGGCCUCUUGCCAUCGGAUGUGCCCAGAUGGGAUUAGCUAGUAGGUGGGGUAACGGCUCACCUAGGCGACGAUCCCUAGCUGGUCUGAGAGGAUGACCAGCCACACUGGAACUGAGACACGGUCCAGACUCCUACGGGAGGCAGCAGUGGGGAAUAUUGCACAAUGGGCGCAAGCCUGAUGCAGCCAUGCCGCGUGUAUGA
rnacentral:rRNA from 1 species